rnacentral:rRNA from 1 species
CGGACGGGUGAGUAACACGUGGAUAACCUACCUAUAAGACUGGGAUAACUUCGGGAAACCGGAGCUAAUACCGGAUAAUAUAUUGAACCGCAUGGUUCAAUAGUGAAAGACGGUUUUGCUGUCACUUAUAGAUGGAUCCGCGCCGCAUUAGCUAGUUGGUAAGGUAACGGCUUACCAAGGCAACGAUGCGUAGCCGACCUGAGAGGGUGAUCGGCCACACUGGAACUGAGACACGGUCCAGACUCCCUACGGGAGGCAGCAGCU